UAGGGAAUCUUCCGCAAUGGACGCAAGUCUGACGGAGCAACGCCGCGUGAGUGAAGAAGGAUUUCGGUUCGUAAAACUCUGUUGUUAGAGAAGAACAGCGCAUAGAGUAACUGUUAUGCGUGUGACGGUAUCUAACCAGAAAGCCACGGCUAACUACGUGCCAGCAGCCGCGGUAAUACGUAGGUGGCAAGCGUUGUCCGGAUUUAUUGGGCGUAAAGCGAGCGCAGGCGGUCAAUUAAGUCUGAUGUGAAAGCCCCCGGCUCAACCGGGGAGGGUCAUUGGAAACAGGUUGACUUGAGUGCAGAAGAGGAGAGUGGAAUUCCAUGUGUAGCGGUGAAAUGCGUAGAUAUAUGGAGGAACACCAGUGGCGAAGGCGACUCUCUGGUCUGUAACUGACGCUGAGGUUCGAAAGCGUGGGUAGCAAACAGG
rnacentral:rRNA from 1 species